CAACAAUUAGAUGCAUUUAUUUUCUUUAUUUCUCUGUGUCUUUUAGUAAUCACUUCUUCUUCAGAGUCUCCACCAAUCCAAUGUCCGACGAAACCUUAACGAAAUCAAGACAAAAAGAAGUCUUUUUCUGUUUAUCAAAACAGUUCAUUCUUUUCUCAAAGCCGAUCGAUCUACUCUUCUAAAGUUCAGCCAUCACCUGAGAAUCUUUCAAGACAUACAAUCGAAAAGUAAUCAUUCUAGACGUGUGAAUGGUAAAGUAUCUAUUUCUCCAUUCUUAUUUUGAGAAUUCCGAAUUAUUAAAACACAAGACAGUUCUAAUCUCUGGGUUUUUUUUUUUGCAAUCCUUUGGGAACUCAACUGAGUUUAAAUAAGAGCAAAUAUGUUGAGCAAAUUAUAAAUUCACCCAAUACUAAGUUCACAGAGUUUGAGUUCCCCUUAUACAUGAUCGGAUGCUUCUUCAGGACUCAAUUGUUGUCCCUGCAGUAUUUGAUCUAGAUUGCAUAAGAGAGAUGCCACUCAGAUAACAUGGCGAAUGCGGAGUAGUACAUAUGGCUGUGAUUGGUUCAUGGAAGUUAUAUGUCUAACUUCAUCGUAUGAGAGGAGAGUACUCCUCUAUGUAAAUUUAAAUUUUAAUAUAAGGUAAUGUUGAUAGAGAA